AAAAAGGACUCUCGGCAACGGAUAUCUCGGCUCUUGCAUCGAUGAAGAACGUAGCGAAAUGCGAUACUUGGUGUGAAUUGCAGAAUCCCGUGAACCAUCGAGUCUUUGAACGCAAGUUGCGCCCAAAGCCAUUCGGUUGAGGGCACGCCUGCCUGGGUGUCGUG
rnacentral:rRNA from 1 species